rnacentral:lncRNA from 1 species
CUCCGCCCCGCCCAAGGCCCCGCCCACCGCGCUGACGCCUGCCCCACUGCGGCCGCCUGCGAGGUAAGCACGCGCUUCUCGGCCUCUAAACUUCCAAACAGGCCCCUCCACACAGCCCCUCAGGGUGCUGAAGGAGUUACCGUAAUCAGACUCGUUAUCAGAAACAUUUUUUUUAAAAGCUCAUGAACGCUCCAAGGCCUCACCCACAGUUAAUCCAACUUUAAUGGCCUUAUCUUACCAGCUCCGGCCUGGCCUCCGAGUCCAGCCUCCAUCAUUUCCGGGGGAGGGCGGGACUUCCUGUCUGGGGAGGAGCCAAUUGGGAACGGGUUCUGCUGCCUGUGGACCCGAUUGGCUGAAUGCUUUUCAAAGUCCCAGUCUGGACAUGUCGGGCCACUGCUAAAUCCGUCUGGCAUAGCAUUCCUGACAGGCAAAAUUACUAUCUUGGAGCCGGCCUUCACUAGGGCUUCUGUUUGAACUCCCUGGAAGCUGACAUCCCCAUAGAGUACGAAAUCCACCGCAUUGGCUGUCAACAAGCUGGCAGCUUACUGACUGUGUGUGUCACCUGCUGGCUGUUCUUCCAGAGUGAAGACUCCUGUCUGAUGAUUUAUCCCAGAAAGAGGCUUGCAGAUUAACUGGGAAUGAGCAUCCUGUGCCCAAACGAGAGUGAGAUUCUCGUUCACCUACCUGCUUGUCUCCUCUUCUCCAGUGUCCAAAGGGCAAUGAUCAGACAGGCUGCUUUCUAGCAACACACAGUCUUAGUCACCUUUCAGCCAAAUGAAAAAUCCAGAAGCAAAACAGAUCAUUCGGGUUUACUGUGUGAAGUGGCAACACCACAGAAAUCAGCAGAUUGAUAACUAUUUAGAAAUAGAUUUAUCUGAUUUCAUUUCCCAUCUAGAGUGUGGGUCAGUGUGUGUGCCUCUUUAUGCAUAGACACCUAACUCGUUUGGGAUAAAAUAUUUAAACGUGAAUAAAAACAAUAAGCAGCCCA